GAUGUCCCCCAAUCUGGCAUUCUAAAGGUUGGAGGAAAGACCUCUUAGCUGACUGACCAGUGGCACUUUUAAUGACUACACUUUUGGAUGCCUUUUUCUGCAAUAGUUCUGGGAGUACUGAGUAUUCAGCGCCAGUAUCUAUCAUAAAGUCUAUUAAAUGGCUCCCUAAUUGAAUUUUGACCGUGGGCUCCUGGAAGCCUAACUUUAUGGAGUCCGGUCGUUCCUAGUCUUGGGUAAAAUCCUCCUCUGCCAGUCCAAUGAAAUUGUCUCUACUCCGUCCUUGUCCAGGUCUCUGAUAUCUUCCAUCUCGGAUCAUUCCCCGUCCCCGUCCCUGGUUUCUUGGGCCGGAGCCUGGGCCUGGGCCUGGGCGUACUUCUUCCAACCUCAGGGGUUCAGGACACUCCCGCUUCCAAUGACCCUCCUUCUUGCAAUUCGCACAUUGAUUCCUUCCCAGUGGUGGAUUCCUUCCCCGCCCUCUCCCUCCAUUUAAAGGGCGGUAGUCUUGCUUCACUGCUGUGGCUAGCAUCACCAUCUUUUCCUUCUGCCACUUCUUCUUCUCUUGUUUCUCAGCCUCAUCCCUAUUCCGAUAAACUCGGCGUGCAAUGGCCAUAAUUUGGCUCAUCAGCAUCCCUUCCCAGCCUUCUGACUUCUGAAUUUUCUUACGAAUGUCAGAAGCGCACUGAGCCACAAAAGUAGCAGUAAUCAUUCUGCUGUUUGCAGGGGCUUCAGGGUCAAAAGGAGUCCAUAUACGAUAGGCUUCCUGCAGCCUCUCUAAAAGUCUCCCGGACUCUCAUUCGGUUUCUGUUCUACUUCUGAGACUUUAGUCAUAUUAGUGGGCUUCUGGCAUGCCCUGCGGAUACCUUGCACAAGCGUCUGGCGGUAGGUGGUAAGCCUGGCCAGGUGAAUUGCAUUGUUUGGAUCCCAAUUAGGAUCCUCCAAGGGAAAAUUGUCCUGGAGAUGACGGUCAACAUUAAGAAUAUUUCCCACUCUGGCCUGCUCACGCAAAUAUAUCUGUGCCUUUUCAAUUAUGUCUCUUCUUUCCUCAGUGGUGAACAGAGUAUUCAGGAGCUGGCGGCAAUCUGUCCAAGUAGGACUAUGAGUAUUUACUAUUGAAGUCACCAAGUCCAUCAUAGCCUGAGGUUUUUCUGCGAAAGACGGGGUGUGUGUUUUCCAAUUCAUCAGAUCCGUAGUUGUGAAUGGAAUGUACUGGAGGGUCGAAGUUCGAGGUGGCCGUGGUCCGAGUUGCCCGUUAACCAGCACAGGCUCCUCAAGUGCAUCAAAUACUCUUCUGAGAGGGGCUACUACGUGACCUUUCUCUUCGCUUUGCUUUAGGGGCCUCAAAUCAUAGGGGAUAGUAUUUGUCCCAAGGCGUUCUUUUAACAGCUUUAUACGCCUGGCUGUAUUGCUUACUGACCGAUCAAAGUCUCCCUGUAACUCCUGUAAUAGUUCUCUAGGACUUGGAUGUACAGGGGUUUGGGGUGGGCAAUCAGUUGUUCCACUAAAGGAGACUGUAGAUGGAGUUCUACUGGGACUCACAGGUGGAAUAACCACUUCUGCUUGGGCUUUAUUAUAGGACUCCAAUGCCUCCUGAAGAUAUUUAUCAUAAUCUAUCAAGGAAUCAAGCUCUGUGACUCCAGCCCCAUUAUUCCUUCCACUUUCUUGCCUUGGGGUUACAACUGGUGGAGUGUUUGGAUUAGGCUCCCUCGAUGUGGAGCAUAGGGUGGAGGUGGAAGCACCUCUUCCUCUGGUCCCUCAAAAAUGGGUUUGAGUUUAUUUGGCAAGAUUCCUUUCCUAGCUUCGGCUUUUACAGCCAAUAAUUUGCAUUGUUGGACUUUGCAUUCCCUUAUCCAUGGAGGAUUAUUAUUUAAUGUGCUCAGCCAAGAAUCUAUAUAUGAAAAUUGUUCUGGGCACCCUCCAGUUUCUUUGGUGAUGUUAGACCAAAGUUUGCUUGCUAAAUUUAUAUCAAAACUUCCCUGAGGUGGCCAUCCAGUAUUUUGUUUUGGCCAGUCUAAUUCACAUAACGUUCUCAAGCGCUCUGGCGUCAUUUUGACUCCAUAUGCUCCUGAGAAGGCUUUCUUAAAAUUAUUUAACAUACAUUCAAGAGGUGUAUUUUCCCCUUUGAACCUCCAACUCCCAUUGUAUGGCCCUGUGAAGUAUCCACUCAGUCACUCACACACACGCUUCGUGGGGAUCCUUGCCUAGUGAAGUCGCCUUACUAGGAACCGAAGUACUACCCACUCCACACUCAGGUCAGCUACAAAUUGUACUUUCUCACACAUACAAUGCGCUGGAUACUUCACCACACUCUACCUCCCAAUCUUUCCCUUUUCCCUCCACCAGACCACCAUCUGAUGUACCCAACCACCUAGCGUACUCAGUUCCCCCUUACUGAGACGCAGAAGUUUGAUCAAGACUUCUCUUCCUCCCAAGUAAUUGGAGGGCCACAACCCCUUUGUGCACUUACCCUUAGCUGGUCCCUGUUUAUUUCUCUGGUUACCCCCGGUCCGUCGCCGCCAGUGAGCAGGGUAUCAGACAGACGAGACUUCUGCGUUCCCCUGGAAAAAUGUUCCAGUGCGCGCUGGGUAAGCGGUCAGUGGUCCUCCCUCUUGUACCCUGCCCGCUAGGGCGAAGGGGCUGCGUUCCAGCAGACCACUUAUCCGAGUCACAGAGGCACCAUAAAAUGUAGCACCCUGCUUGUGGUUAACGCUUAGCUGGAAUGAAAUAUUCAACGCAGCAAUAGAGAAAUUAAAAUAAUAAUUUAUUUGUCAGACAAAUAAAUGAGAGACACAGUGGUAUAUGGAUACCAAAGCUCUGCCUACUCCAGCCCUGAUGGCCAGCACUUAUAUUUCCUCAGCCCAGCCCCCUUGCUCCUCCUUUGGCUGCCUCUGUCCAAUCAUCCUGGUUGAAAUUCCUAUUGGUUGUUUGCUAGAACCAAUCAUAAAAGAUACACCCAUUUCCUAUUCCCUUUUAUGGGAGACAAAAGCUAUAUUUCCUUGUAUCCAUAAAUGGCAGACAAGUAGCCAUAUAUCUUACAUUUACCUCGACCAGGCACCUCAAUUACCAGAUAACCUUUGGCCCCUGUUGCCCUAUUCACCGCAAACCAGAUGGCUAAAGCAGAUGGUGCAUGGUUUCUAAUUUUUUUAUCUUAAAGAGAUCUUGAGUUCACCUUCUCACCCACCAUAAUAGGAAUCUAACAUAAGAAUCUAACAUUUCUUACUUUCUAAAUCCUUUGCAUAAUCACAUUUAAGCCAAUAUAUUUCAUACAUAACAUAGAUAGAUUUUUAGAAGGAAAGGCCUUUUCAAAUUAAAGGAAUUUAGUAAAAGCUAAGUUCCUAAGUUCUAUAAAGAAACCUUUUUCCCUAACCAGCGGCUGUUUCUUCCAUUUAACCUUUAACCUUAUGGCUCGAGUCUUCUGUUAAACAAUAAAUUUCACUAUUUACCAGUUCUUAAUUGUGUUUUUACAGCUUGAUUGUAUUCUGGUCAGUGUGACCUUUUGCUCUCUGGCUCUAAUUUCCUUUUACAACCCUGAAAUACUUUUAUUUAUAGCAGUGGGGCCCUUGAACAGCUGCCAGAGUAUUCAGCUGCUCUUCUCCCUUGCAUGAGAGAAAAAUAUAUUUACAAAUAUAAUUUUUUUAAGCUCAAAGCAGAU
rnacentral:lncRNA from 1 species